rnacentral:rRNA from 1 species
GGAUUAGAUACCCUAUUAUUUUUGAUUUAAAUUUAUUAUUCUUGGGUAGUAUUAGAUAUGAUCUUGAAACCUAAAGAAUUUGGCGGUAUUCUAGUCUUUUUAGAGGAAUCUGUCCCUUAAUCGAUAGUCCACGCUGAACCUUACUUGGUAAAAUUUAAUAUGUAUAUCGCCGUUUUUGAAGAUCUUUUUAGAGGAUUUUCUUAAGAUUUAAUUUUAUAAAAAUUCAGGUCAAGGUGCAGUUUAUAAUCAAGUGGUGAUGGAUUACAUUAAAAUUAUUUAAACGGAUUGAAUUUUGUAAAUUGAUUUAUGAAGGUGGAUUUAAUAGUAAUUAUUUAUAGAUUUUUAUACUGAUUUUGGCUCUAGGAUGUGUACACAUUGCCCGUCACUCUCAUUAUUAAGAUGAGAUAAGUC